UACGUAGGGUGCAAGCGUUGCUCGGAAUCACUGGGCGUAAAGCGCACGUAGGCGGAUUGUUAAGUCAGGGGUGAAAUCCUGGAGCUCAACUCCAGAACUGCCUUUGAUACUGGCGAUCUCGAGUCCGGGAGAGGUGAGUGGAACUGCGAGUGUAGAGGUGAAAUUCGUAGAUAUUCGCAAAGAACACCAGUGGCGAAGGCGGCUCACUG
rnacentral:rRNA from 1 species